AUUGAACGCUGGCGGCAGGCCUAACACAUGCAAGUCGAACGGCAGCACAGAAGAGCUUGCUCUUUGGGUGGCGAGUGGCGGACGGGUGAGUAAUGUCUGGGAAACUGCCCGAUGGAGGGGGAUAACUACUGGAAACGGUAGCUAAUACCGCAUAACGUCGCGAGACCAAAGUGGGUGACCUUCGGGCCUCACACCAUCGGAUGUGACCAGAUGGGAGUAGCUAGUAGGUGGGGUAAUGGCUCACCUAGGCGACGAUCCCUAGCUGGUCUGAGAGGAUGACCAGCCACACUGGAAAGGAGACACGGUCCAGACUCCUACGGGAGGCAGCAGUGGGGAAUAUUGCACAAUGGGCGCAAGCCUGAUGCAGCCAUGCCGCGUGUAUGAAGAAGGCCUUCGGGUUGUAAAGUACUUUCAGCGGGGAGGAAGGCGGUGAGGUUAAUAACCUCGCCGAUUGACGUUACCCGCAGAAGAAGCACCGGCUAACUCCGUGCCAGCCGCCGCAGUAA
rnacentral:rRNA from 1 species